UUUUUAUAGCGUAAAAGCUAAAUAAAUUUAUGCAUACUUAAAUACAGUAAGCCAAAAUAUUUAAUUUAAUUUACAAUAACAAGAGUGCCCCCGAAUAAACAAAAGUAAAGAGGACUGUGAACCUACGGUUUGGAAAAUGCAAAUCCCACUGUAGUCCUCGAUGAGAUCAGCUAUCUACAGUCUAUACUGAACCUGAAAUGGGUGGAAAUGAGGGUGGUGAGAUUAUAAAAUCGCAAUGAGUAAACAGUCAUCAUCAUAAACAUCUAGAGUUGAGUACAUGGAGAUAAUAAAGUAAAUCAUCAUAAACUGGGUUAUACAAUUAGAACACAUCUCAUUCAAAAUAUGUAAAAAGGCUUAUGAAUCUCAUAAAAAUCUAGGCUUGUGCCAUAAAUCCAUUCUCGGGGACACCUUGGCCGAGGCAUCCUACCGAGACCGCCAAGGCUAUUAAAAUUCACAUUUCACAUAAAUCAUGUUUUUGUUUUGAAAACAUAGCCGUUCCUUGGCGUUGGCUGAGUUCCCCCUCACGUGGUGGUUUAGCGUGAAGUGAACCCUAAACUUUACCCCAGGAGAUACCCUACGCGCCUCUCCGUUCGAGGUAAGAAUAUAAUGGGGUUUACCGUGCCCCUCUAAAAGGCUGGUCCACAGAAACCCCCUACUGCAGUGAUUAAUUAAUAUAUAAUCCACCAUAUAAUAAAACUCAAUAACAUGAUAUGGCAAUUUUGUAAUUCGUAGUUUUUCAAGGUAACCAAACAAUUCGCAUUUCAAUACAAUUGCCAACUAGCCAAUCAUGCUCGAUUUAUCAUAAGCCAGUUAAUUUAAACAAUCAAAUUGCCACAAUUAACAGUCUCCGUGUACUCUAUUUUUCAAAAUCACUAUUAAUUUCAAAACAAUUUAUAAUUUAAUUUCAUUGAAACUCAUUUAUUCAUAAAACAUGAAAAUUUAUCUUUUUAAAUUCCUUUUUCCAUAGAAUUCAUGAAAGCAUCUAAAAACCACCCUAGAUAAUUAAAAUGACAGUAAGUUUACUCACAAUGUCUAGAAUGCAGACUUUCGAAGCACUCUGUCUACUGGUCCUCGGAUGCAAUUUCCUUGCCUUUAUCGGAGGACUCACCACCUUGACACAGUACAAAAUCGAGAGUUUCACCAAGUUGGUACUAAAUCAAAAUUAAACUAAUUUAGACUACCAAUGCAUGAUAUGGAAUGCAAAAAUGCACUGGUAACUAUCUAAACCCGGUAUUGGCCUAAUUCGUCUUAUCACCCGAUUAAAUUCCUAACGGGUCCGUUUAAACUCCAAUUUAAUUCUUUUCAGUUUCUAUACCUCAAUUGCACCCAAAUUAACUUAAUGUCCCUCAGUGUGGUGCAAAUUAUCAGUCCCAACAGCAAAUUACGAAAAUACCCCUAGUGGGUAAAAAUUCGUAUUUUUGCUCCGAAAAUUCCCAUUAUUUUUCUAGGCUCAUAAUUCAUUAUUCCUUAACCAAUUCUCCUAGAAUAAAAUCAAACUCAUCCUCACUCACUACAUGGUAAAUUCAGCCAUUAAUGGUUGGGGGAGAAAAUAAAUUCUUUUCUUGUUGUUUUGUUUCUAAAUAUGCUAAACUAACUAAAAACACUAACAUAAAUUAAAAUCAAAUAAAUCCAACAACUUUCUCUCUCCUAACCCAUUUUUUCAGAAUUGAAUUCAUCAUGAAAACAUGUAAUUUAAUCAUGGAAAAUAAAGAGAAAUGCUUGGGAAUAAGAAAACUCAAGCUUAAUAGAAAAAUCUCACCUUUUUCACUUAAUUUCCUUGAAAAUUCACGCUUCUUCUUUGAUUUUCUCUCUCUAGGGUUUUGUUUUUAUUUUCUCUCUCUUCUUGCUGGUUUGGCCGGCCAUGGGGUGGAAGAUGAGCUGAUUUUUGUGCCU
rnacentral:lncRNA from 1 species